rnacentral:ncRNA from 2 species
AGCAGCCGCGGUAAUUCCAGCUCCAAUAGCGUAUAUUAAAGUUGUUGCAGUUAAAAAGCUCGUAGUUGAACUUCGGGGUCUACCCAUUGGUCAGGCUUAAUUGUCUGCACUGGUGAGAUGGAUCUCUACCUUCUGAGGAACUUUCAUGCCAUUUAUUUGGUGUGAUGGGAAAUCAGGACUGUUACUUUGAAAAAAUUAGAGUGUUUAAAGCAGACUAUCGUCUGAAUACAUUAGCAUGGAAUAAUGAAAUAGGACGGACUGAUUCUAUUUCGUUGGUUUCUAGGAUCACCGUAAUGAUUAAUAGGGAUAGUUGGGGGCAUUAGUAUUCAAUUGUCAGAGGUGAAAUUCUUGGAUUUAUUGAAGACUAACUACUGCGAAAGCAUUUGCCAAGGAUGUUUUCAUUAAUCAAGAACGAAAGUUAGGGGAUCGAAGACGAUCAGAUACCGUCGUAGUCUUAACCAUAAACUAUGCCGACUAGGGAUCGGACGAAGUUAAUUUUAUAAUGACGCGUUCGGCACCU